rnacentral:tRNA from 1 species
GUUUGUGGCUCAGUGGUAAUGCCACAGUCUACAAAUCAUUGAGUCACAGGUUCAAACCCUGCCUGAAGCA